CUGCCGUUCGAGAUUAGAGUUUGAUCCUGGCUCAGAUUGAACGCUGGCGGCAGGCUUAACACAUGCAAGUCGAGCGGAGAGAGGUAGCUUGCUACUGAUCUUAGCGGCGGACGGGUGAGUAAUGCUUAGGAAUCUGCCUAUUAGUGGGGGACAACAUUUCGAAAGGAAUGCUAAUACCGCAUACGUCCUACGGGAGAAAGCAGGGGAUCUUCGGACCUUGCGCUAAUAGAUGAGCCUAAGUCGGAUUAGCUAGUUGGUGGGGUAAAGGCCUACCAAGGCGACGAUCUGUAGCGGGUCUGAGAGGAUGAUCCGCCACACUGGGACUGAGACACGGCCCAGACUCCUACGGGAGGCAGCAGUGGGGAAUAUUGGACAAUGGGCGGAAGCCUGAUCCAGCCAUGCCGCGUGUGUGAAGAAGGCCUUAUGGUUGUAAAGCACUUUAAGCGAGGAGGAGGCUACUUUAGUUAAUACCUAGAGAUAGUGGACGUUACUCGCAGAAUAAGCACCGGCUAACUCUGUGCCAGCAGCCGCGGUAAUACAGAGGGUGCAAGCGUUAAUCGGAUUUACUGGGCGUAAAGCGCGCGUAGGCGGCUAAUUAAGUCAAAUGUGAAAUCCCCGAGCUUAACUUGGGAAUUGCAUUCGAUACUGGUUAGCUAGAGUGUGGGAGAGGAUGGUAGAAUUCCAGGUGUAGCGGUGAAAUGCGUAGAGAUCUGGAGGAAUACCGAUGGCGAAGGCAGCCAUCUGGCCUAACACUGACGCUGAGGUGCGAAAGCAUGGGGAGCAAACAGGAUUAGAUACCCUGGUAGUCCAUGCCGUAAACGAUGUCUACUAGCCGUUGGGGCCUUUGAGGCUUUAGUGGCGCAGCUAACGCGAUAAGUAGACCGCCUGGGGGAGUACGGUCGCAAGACUAAAACUCAAAUGAAUUGACGGGGGGCCCGCACAAGCGGUGGAGCAUGUGGUUUAAUUCGAUGCAACGCGAAGAACCUUACCUGGCCUUGACAUAGUAAGAACUUUCCAGAGAUGGAUUGGUGCCUUCGGGAACUUACAUACAGGUGCUGCAUGGCUGUCGUCAGCUCGUGUCGUGAGAUGUUGGGUUAAGUCCCGCAACGAGCGCAACCCUUUUCCUUAUUUGCCAGCGAGUAAUGUCGGGAACUUUAAGGAUACUGCCAGUGACAAACUGGAGGAAGGCGGGGACGACGUCAAGUCAUCAUGGCCCUUACGGCCAGGGCUACACACGUGCUACAAUGGUCGGUACAAAGGGUUGCUACCUAGCGAUAGGAUGCUAAUCUCAAAAAGCCGAUCGUAGUCCGGAUUGGAGUCUGCAACUCGACUCCAUGAAGUCGGAAUCGCUAGUAAUCGCGGAUCAGAAUGCCGCGGUGAAUACGUUCCCGGGCCUUGUACACACCGCCCGUCACACCAUGGGAGUUUGUUGCACCAGAAGUAGCUAGCCUAACUGCAAAGAGGGCGGUUACCACGGUGUGGCCGAUGACUGGGGUG
rnacentral:rRNA from 1 species